rnacentral:rRNA from 1 species
UACGAAGGGGGCUAGCGUUGUUCGGAAUCACUGGGCGUAAAGGGCGCGUAGGCGGCGCGACAAGUCAGACGUGAAAUCCCCAGGCUCAACUUGGGAACUGCGUCUGAUACUGGAUGGCUUGAAUUCGGGAGAGGGAUGCAGAAUUCCAGGUGUAGCGGUGAAAUGCGUAGAUAUCUGGAGGAAUACCGGUGGCGAAGGCGGCAUCCUGGACCGACAUUGACGCUGAUGAGCGAAAGCUAGGGGAGCAAACGGG